rnacentral:rRNA from 1 species
UGGGGAAUAUUGCACAAUGGGGGAAACCCUGAUGCAGCCAUGCCGCGUGUGUGAAGAAGGCCUUCGGGUUGUAAAGCACUUUCAGUCGUGAGGAAAGGUUAGUAGUUAAUACCUGCUAGCUGUGACGUUAGCGACAGAAGAAGCACCGGCU